rnacentral:rRNA from 1 species
ACGUAGGAGGAAAACGUUAUCCGGAUUUAAUGGGCGUAAAGCGAGUGUAGGUGGUUUGGUAAGUAGAGCGUGAAAGCUCCUGACUCAACUGGGAGAGGACGUUCUAAACUGCCGGACAAGAGGAUGGUAGAGGAAGGUGGAAUUCCGUGUGUUGCGAUUGAAUGCACAAAUGACCGGAGGAGCACGGUUGGCGAUGACGUUGACCUAGUCCAUUCGUAACAGUCGAACGCGAGAUCUGGGUCAUCUAAUAU